rnacentral:rRNA from 1 species
CUGCCGUGUAAGUCUGCUGUGCAAUCCACACGCUUAACGUGUGGAAGUGCAGCGGAUACUGCACGGCUUGGGACCGGAUGGCGUCGAGGCUAUUCCAGGAGUAGGAGUGAAAUCCAAAAAUUCCUGGAGGAGCACCUGUGGCGAAAGCGCUCGGCGAUUACGGAUCCGACGGUGAGGGACGAAAGCCAGGGGAGCAAAGGGGAUUAGAUACCCUCGUAGUCCUGGCCGUAAACAAUGUGCGUUUGAUGUCGGCUAACCUCCGUGGUUAGCCGGUGCCGAAGUAAAAACGUUAAACGCACCGCCUGGGUA